rnacentral:lncRNA from 1 species
GCAAAUUGCAUAUUUUGCAUAUUAUGCAUAAAAAUGCAAAAAUUUCCAAUUUUGCAUAUUUUUAUGUAAGUAUGCAUAAAAUGCAUAUAAUUUGAAAUUUUGGUUGUAGCUAUACAUAUCUCUUUAUAUUCAGGUAACAAAUAGCUUGGAAAUCUCAAUAUUUCAUUUUGUUUUAUUAUAAUUGGGGAUUCAAAUUUUUGGUAUUGCAAUGUACUAACUAAUAAAAGAUACCAGCUUAUACAUUUUGUCACGUUUUGUCUUUGAUACAAGGGUUCCAAAAUCUGCCAGUUUAUAUCUCUAGGUAAAAAUUUGUAUGUUGACGGUCCAUUUCACUGUUGUUGUAAAAUAAGACGUGUCUUUGUAAUUGUGAAUAAUUAUUGUGCUUUGAAAAUUCCGAAAAUAUAAAGUUCAGUGCAAUUCAUAACAUCAAACUAUAGUUUUGUUCAGAAAACUAUUACCCAGUUAGAAUCUUCCAAAUUAUCAUUGUUAGACAGUACAUUUUGAAUAAAAGAAUUUGAAUCAUUGUGUCAAAACAUUAAAACUAAUACAUACAUAUUGGGAAGGAAAUUUUCCAAAAAUUUAAAGCAACUAUGGAAAUAAACAGUGGUUACCAGAUUUUUCUGAAGUGGUUCAAGUACUAGCUAGGACAUUUUCCGAAUCACUUAAUUUAAAACCACCUAUUGUCGUAAAUUAAAAAAAAA